AUGGUUAAGAUGGCUUUUUUUCGAGGUGGGAGCCGACUGUUGUGAGGUAUGGUACUGGGUGCAGAUGCAAUGUGGCUCUCGAUAGCACCUUAUGGACAGUUGUGUCCCAAAGGAGGGAUAACAAUAGCUACUGAAGUCCUAAAGAGCAAGCCUAACUCAAGCCAUUGGCAUACAGGCAUUAGACAGAAAACUAGAAGUUGAAAUGGUGGAGUCCAACUUGUCUGGACCAGCUUUAUGUUUCUGGUGCCGAUGUUUGGAGACCUUUUAAAGGACUCAGAAUUCAUGCUUGAAGAAAUGCAGGCAGACCUGUUAUCCUAAACUAGAGUUUUUAAUGACCACAGCAAGCAAGCAUGUAGCUUACCGCUUGAAAGGGUCUUGCCUCACCCAAGCUGGAGUGCAGUGGCCCUUUGAGGCUUACUACAGCCUGCCUCAGACUUCUGGGCUCAAGUGAUCCUCAGCCUCCCAAUGGUCUUUGUAGACAGCCUGAUGGAGUCUCAUGGCACAAGAAGAUUAAAACAGUGUCUCCAAUUUUAAUAAAUUUUUGCAAUCCAAAAAAAAAAAAAAAAAA